GAUGAAGAACGUAGCGAAAUGCGAUACGUAAUGUGAAUUGCAGAAUUCCGUGAAUCAUCGAAUCUUUGAACGCACAUUGCGCCCGGUAGUAUUCUGCCGGGCAUGCCUGUUCGAGCGUCAUUUCAACCAUCAAGCCCCAGCGCUUGUGUUGGGGGCCUGCGGCUGCCGCAGCCCCCUAAAAGCAGUGGCGGGCUCGCUAUCACACCGAGUGCAGUAGUUCAUCUUCUCUCCGGUCUUGUGAGGCGGGUUCCGGCCGUGAAACACCCCACUACAUUCAAGGUUGACCUCGGAUCAGGUAGGAAUACCCGCUGAACUUAAGCAUAUCAAUAAGCGGAGGA
rnacentral:misc_RNA from 1 species